AGCUAGCAGACGAGUCCCAAAAUGGGACGAAAUGCGCAUCAAGCUGGAU
rnacentral:hammerhead_ribozyme from 1 species